ACAUGUUUGCCUGUCUAAAAAAAAUACUUGCAGAUUCAUUACAAAAUAAUUACAAAAUCAAAAGUUUAAAAGGCUUUUGGCUGUGACUAGAUUUUUUUCUGACAAUACAAAAAACAUUCUUACGCACCUUUUUUCCCUUAUGCAUAGAAAUGUGUAUUUAUCAUAGAUUCAUCCAUUUCCGUGUGUAACUUCUCAUGGACAACUAUGUUUGAUCCCGUGGAAUACGACUCAAAUUUGAAGAAUAGAAGUAGUUCCUAACUGCUGAAAGGAUCAGACUUGUUAUCCUAUCACACCAACAUUGGAUGCCGGUGGGUGGAGUUGGGAGGGUCGUCAGCUACAUGGGAAACACCUGGGCCCGGUGUGUCCCAGGAUAAAUACACCACUUCCCCAUUCAUGGAGGAGACUCUCUCCAUGCAGACACCUUUAGAGAUUUUGUUGUGUUUCUUGGUGGUUUUUUGAUUGUUUGCUUUGGCAUCUUUCAACACAUUCAUGCAUGCAAAACACUCACUUACACUACUGAUUACACACACACACACACCAUUGUAUAUUAUACUUAGAUACUUUAUUUAAAUAAAUAUAUAUUUUGUUACUCCUUAUCUUCACGUUGUCUCCCUUUUGUUACGGGCUUUGAGUCGGUUCGUGACACUAGUCCAAUGCUCUAACCACUAGGCUACCCUGCCACACCAUGCUAGCAGUGUAGUUGGGAAUCUGACUCAGGAGCAGAGACUGACUGUCAGUGCUCCAGUACAGGAAGAUGGGACUCCAAGAUCCUGUAAAAAGUUCCCAGAGGCACUAUUCCACCACCUGUCCAACUCCAAUGACAGUGACCUAGCUACAGUACAGUCCCCUGUCAGAAUGGAUGGGCAUAUGACAACCUUACCUUCAUGUCCACUCUGGCUACAGAGAUAAGGCUCACUUACGGCUCUUUUGCUUUAAAGAUGGAACAUUUUGAUCACGUUGUAGCUGUUCUGUUCCCAAGAGAUCAGUGACACCAGUGUUGUUAUGAUCUCUUUAAAGUGGGACCUUGUUUGCGAUAGAAAAGAGAUGAACAAAGCGACUGCCACCAGUUUCUUCAUUGGAGUAAUGUGUAGGGCUCCUUUAUUUGGUUUCUUCAGUGACCGGUAUGCACUAUACAGAACCCUUACUACUUCACACAAACUCACAUAUACUAACACUACUGAUACAAUACAAGUUUCCUGUGGAAAAUAGCUGCAAGCUUUAAACCAUUGGUGUUCAGGUGAUGUGUGGCUCAGUUGAUAGAGCAUGGUGCUUUUAAUGCCAGGGUUCUGGGUACGAUUCUCACGAGGGACCAGUAUGAAAAUGUAUACUUUCUACUGUAAGCCGCUCUGGGUAAGAGUAUCUGUUAAAUGUACACAUUUUAAUUUUCAUGCAGAAAUGAAAUACUCUGAUCAUUUCUAAAAGUAUGUUUAAUAGAAUGUUGUCUUUCACUUAGCUGCAUUGUGUAUAGAAAUAUUGCAACUUUACGUUAUGGUAUACUGAUUAUAGUGAUUCCGUGGCUUAUAAGUGGUUUACAAUGGUUAGUUAAAUAAUUUGUUUAUAUAUAUUAUAUAUACUGUACCAGUCAAAAGUUUGGACAACUACUCAUUCCAGGGUUUUUCUUUAUUUUUACUAUUUUCUACAUUGUAGAAUAAUAGUGAAGACAUCAAAACUAUGAAAUAACUGUUGGAGGAAAUUAUGGUUGAAAUGACUAAUUAUGUAUACAUUCCAAUCAGAACUGACUAGUCCAAAUGCUAUAAUGUACUGUACAUAUAUGAAUUUUCUCUUUUGCUCCCAUUCCCGAUUGUAUAUAAUGUAGUCAGGAGUUUAGUAACAAUGACGGUCUGUUCCUUGUACAAAUGAAUGUACUAUCUCCAGGUGGCUGGGACGGACUAUCUCCAGACUGUCUAGAAUGCUGAUUUAUACUGACUGACCUUGACUUCAGGCGUGGAGCGAAGGCUCGAGAACUAUAGGGCCUCUCUACCGGUGUCAUGAAAGAGAUAGAACAUUUAGAAAACGCUGACGUCAUUUUCAGUUUAUAACCUGUGGAAAAAUGUGUAUGUGGCAGUACUCUCUUGUAAUAAACGCUGUUACCUGACUUUUAAGACUGGUCUCAAUCUAUUUCAUGCAUAAUUAAUGAAUUUACAACUCAUUAAUGAAAUAGAGAGAGUGCGAAUUUGAUUUUGGCUACAAAACAUAUAGAAAUUUAGAAUUCCUCUAACAAUUGGUCCUUCGAUCCCGGAUCUAAAUACCCCUCCCUGUUAUCUGGAGGUAGUACGCUGAAAAUCGUGCACGGACAAGUUUUUGACUCGUUUUACUAAAAAGACCUGACCUCUGAAUUAAGGUUAAAACGAACAGUGCUUUUCCCAGCCAGCAGCAGGUAAAGUAGCCUUUAUUCUCGAAUUUGGGAGGGAUUAUUUAGGAUAUUUAUUGAUUAAAAUGUUAUGAAGGAGGUGAAUUUGAUCAAUAAUAGGUGCUUGAAUAUUCUGAACAAAUAAAAUGGGUUUCUACCUUGGGUUUUAACCAAAAUCGAUAGGAAGGAAGCAGGGCUGAAAUUGACCUGUUGUAAAGGUGCGCUACCAUCAAAUAAACUAGAGCUUAAUAAAUCCUGGUCUUGCAAGCCAGAAGGUUAUUAAGGAGGAUAUAGUACGCAUUGGAGAAUUAGGACGCUUGUUCCGUACAAAUAGGAUAGCCAAUAAUUCAAAAGACAUACCUAAAUAAAGAUAAAUUAGGCUUGGUGAGAAGGCAGGGUCAUUCUAGGCAAACAGAAUAAUUGAACCUGUACAAUGCUGAAAGAAAUUAAUAUCAAAAGAUAAGUGAUUAGUCUAGAGUAGUGAGAUAUGAGACAUUAACGUUGAAAGUCCCAAAAAUAAUAUCCUAUGGGUGAAAUGUGAUGUCCGAUCAAAAGUCUUCUAUAGACGUGGUUCACAGGAGAGGUCAACUUAGUCUAGAGUAGUGAGAUAUGAGACAUUAACGUUGAAAGUCCCAAAAGGAAUAUCCUAUGGGUGAAAUGUGAUGUCCGAUCAAAAGUUUUCUAUGGACGCGGUUCACAGGAAGGAAAAUACAUACUGAUUAUUUUUAAAGGGACACACACAUAGUCAGACAGAAAAAGACUAAAAGUAACUAAGUAACGGUAAAUUACAAAUUUAUAGAACUGCACGCACAUAGAAUUUAAAAUUAUAUAGAAAGGCAUAGAUAAGUGAUUAGAUACCAUAGCUACUAGUAACGGCAAGGAUUUAGAAUGGGUGGGAAUGCUUCAAAGAAAGCCCCGGAACUAACGGGAGACGAGCGUUAUAUGGAACAGAAAGACAAGAGAAACAUCGAUUUCGGUCUAAGAUGGAGAAAGAAAUACGAUUUUGAUGGCCGUCUAAAUGUAGAAAAGCUGGAAUCCCUUAUAAAACAGAUACAUAAGGAAUGUGGUAAUAAUGUGAAAAAGCAGAAUAAACAGGGGUUAUACACAGCCGGAGUUUGGCUUUCGGAAGCAAAAAAGAGAAUGGGACGCGCAGGAAAAAAGGUUAAAUCUAACAAGACUCGAGAGGCACUACCCACUGCUCCCGCAGAUGAAAAAGUUAACCAAUUGGGUGGGCGUGAGGGUAACAAACUAUAUCUUCCUCGAUUAUACCAACAAUACAGAGAUAAUCCAGUCGACGAAAUAGUGGUUAUAAGAAUACGGCUGCAGGAGCUACCUGUGAAAUUACCACCCAAGUAUGUGGAUCCCGCUGAAGCCGAGGGAGGUAUAAUGGAGUUAGAGAAGGGAAUAAAGUCAAGAAAAAUGGAUAAGGUGAGUCAAAAGAAAAAUACAAGAUGUUUUAAUUGUAACGAAAUUGGACAUUUCGCCCGGGAGUGUAACACUCCCUGCAAAAGUCGUCAACAAGGUUGUAAUUUAACUGUGGGGAAAGUCAGAGGCGACAAUCGGGUAAAGAAAGAGAAGGUUCAGAUACAAAGGGAGCGAGAUUCUAACUGAGGGAAAACUUUGGGCGUCUAAAUUGGGGCUAUUUUCUGUUGUCUAAAUGUCGGAGUUACAAAUUUAAACAGAGAAGAUGGGUCUAUUUGCGGAGAAUCUUAGUCAGUUCCAGGGUUGGUAGUAUAGUGGUGAGCGCGGCAGUCUCACCAACGACAAUCCACGGUUCGGUUCCCGGCCGAGGCGGUUAACUAAAAUUGAUUUUAGAUUGUAAUUGACCUAUUUGCAUGUUUUGCCUGAAAAAUACGGUCGCCAGUGUUUGUAAAAGAUAUGAAAUGAACGUUUAUUAUGUGUUUUAGAUAGAAUUGAAAAAAGAAGUCGUUAAAAAUAAUGGCGAGACAAUUUCGAUGUAUUACGCUAUUUUGCCCAAAAUGAUCUGGUGGAAUAAUGUAUUGAGAUGGGAGUCGUAUUUAAAUAAAUGUAUCAUAGAAGAGAAAGUCACCUAAAGUUAAAUGUAGGGAAUAACGGAGAGAUACGAUACAAUUUCAUGCUAUCCGGACAUUAUAGCUAUUUAUGGAUCGACUGACAUAUGAUAAGUUUAGCACAAAACAUGGUACGUUUAAAUGUUAGAGUAUGGUAAGUUGAGAAGUUGGGUUGGUUUUACUUUGAUGAUUAGAAUUUAAAACUGAACGCAAUCUGAAUAGGGAAUAUAUAUUUUACAGAGGCAGGCAGAUGUGUGAUGACGUUUCACGUUGAACAACAUCGUUCCUCAAAUGUAAACAGAGAAAAGGGGUUGUGGCAUUUAGAGGGAAAAUGUGUGCAUUAUAGCUUAGAGUUACUUUUCAGAAGUUGAAAAAAAUAUAUAUAUUACAAAAUACAUUUUGAGAGUCGCCAGGAUAGUCAGGAAAGAUGCUAAAAACUAUCAGCUGAUACCUAGGUAGGCAUCAAGGUUUGUGGCGUUUGUUUGGAUUGAACUAGGCUAUGGGAGAGAGAGAGACUGGAUGUAUGAAUCGUAAAACAUCGUGGUAAUGGAUUCCAUGGUUGUGAUUCCAGGUUUGAUUGUUUAUGUAGCACCAGUGAAUUUGAGCACUUUCAAUUGUGUGGAACCAUGUUAGGGUAUUUAAAGUUUGAAAAGCAACCUCUAUAGAAAAACAUAACUGCAUAUGUUUCGGGAAGUAAGCUAGGUUGAAUUUGGUUAUUCAAGCUUUUCCCCGGAUACGUAGACAUGCGUGCUUAAGUAGGAUUCUUCAUUCCGGGACGGAUGGAAGUUAUCUAAAAUAAGUCAAUUAAAGGAGCCAUGGGAGAAUGCGAAUGCAUAUUUAUUAAAUAUCGGGGAUUAAAUUACGGAUUUCUUACACUGAGAAAUGUACGACAUUUGCGGCAAAGGGGAAAAAGUAAUACAAUAAUGUUAUCGGGUUAAUUGUAUCUAAGGGUAACAUGUUCAUUUAAGUAAACAUAUACAUUGACGUUGUUUAAAAUGUAUGAUCAAUGAUUUGAGUUAAAGGGGAAUCAUCAUUAGGUUUAGUUUAUAGUUCACUUUUGAGUUUCUGAAUCGGAAUUAGCAUAGUGAAUGCUAGUUAGGAGUGUUGUGUUCUUCUGGGAAAAUUGAUGUUCAGGUGUCUCAAUUUUAGAUGUUUCCUGGGAUUAUAAUCUUGGGGAGAAUGAGGCCAUAAACGACCAAAUUAAAAUAGGUCUGCAAGUAUAUACAAUUAAAACCAUUGUUAGGACUAUUUGUUUUAGUGCAAAGGUAUUUUAAAGAGGCACACUCACAUAUGGAACUUUAUGAGUUUUUAGUUUAUGAGUUUUAAUUAUACAAGUGAAUUUUUGUAUUUUAUUUUAUGACCUAUUGAUCUUAUCGUGACUGUCUUCUGAGGUCUGAUCAGCCUCAGGGGAGAGUCAUUUGUAUAAUGAAUGUGGUCAUAUUGAGUUACUAGUUUUAAGGUAAAUUAAUUAUAAUGGAUUUUUGGUUGGGGGGUUAGAAUUAUUGUUUGAACCGCAAAUGAGAAAGUGGUUCAGGAUUCUGUUUUACAACAUUAGCUGUGAAGUUUUUGAAUGGGCUAUUAAUGAUUUGGUAUUGUAACAGAGAAAAAGUCAUAUUUAUCAUUGAGAAUAAAUAGGGGAAGAUAAGAUAGAUUAAGCCAAUAGGGCAGGGAAUUACAUAGAAAAAUAAGUUGCAGUUUUUAGGGGUGAUAAAUUACUGUAGAUCAGGUAUUCCACACUUUGCAACACAUAUUAAAUUCAUGUUAUUGUCAGAUAGAAUACUGAGGGUCCCCGAAGGAGAGGGCUUGUUAGUGUUGGAAGGAUUUUGAUAUGGUUAGCAUUUAUUAGACUUUGUUUGAUUAUUAUAAGUUUUUAAAUAGUAUUACAUUUAACAGGAAUAUAGGACAUCUGUGAUGAUUUAGGAUUAUUGUUAGGAUUAAGAUAGAUUGAUUAAGGAAAUGUAAGGACUUUAGAGAAAAGCCGCUCAUAGACAUGUUUUUUCUAAUAUCAAUGAUUGUAGAUAAAGUCAAACAGUUAGAAGCUUAGUGGAAUUUGAGAGAUAUGAGAGAAAAGGGUUAUCGGAAUAUAUAUAUUUAAGAAAAUAUAUAAGUAGCACAGAUAGUUCUUUAAAGUAGAUAAGAAACUUGACAGAGUAUUGUUACAGGAUUGACAUGAAUGGACGCCCAAGGGAGAAUUGGACAUGUGGAACAUUUAAAAGGGGCUCCUACAUGAUGAUGUUAGACAUUAGGAUAAUUUACUAAAUCUUACCUAAGUCAUUGUUUAAGAGUAGGCAAGGUUGUUACCGGGGCAGAGCCAGGUAACAAAGGGGGAUGGGUAAAUUGUGUUCUCGGAUAGGAUGUGACCUACGGGAUAAUUAACUAAUACAACAUUUUUUUUAGCUAAUAAACAGAACAAAUGAGAAACUGUUUGUUAACCAAACCUGUAUGUCCAAGAUUUUAUGCACUACAGGUGAACUACAGGUGAAGUCACUCAAUCCAGUCCCAGAGGCUUGUUGGGGGGACCAUACCAAGGAUUCCUGGUGACAGCUAGCUGAAAGAGCUACCCGGAUUCAUAUCGCAAUGCGGGAGGGUAAGACACAGCGACUCUGUCGAACAAUAACAGAGUUCGAGAGGAGAACUGGAAUUAACAGAAUUCUGGGGGCCAUCUCUCGAAUGAAAAAUACCUUACCUGUCCUUUCCUCACUGUUGUUGUUCAUAGAAGUGAAGAUGUGUCUGGCUCUUGCUAAGUGAUGUGUUCUUAGGGGAGAGGAUGGGGCUUCACAUGGAAGCUGUUCGUCUGAGCUGUCUUAUCGUGGGUGACAUAUUCCUGAUACAGCACGUCCUACUCGAGUAUGCGGAGAGUGGUAAUUUGACCCAUGGUUUAGACGGUGAGGAUUUUGUUCCAAAAUAAGCAUAAGAGAUCCCUAGAUUUGGGUAGACAGGAAGUUAGAGUAGAGGUUGGGAAGGAUUAUGUAGACCAAAAUGGAGUCUCUAACUACAUGGCAGUCUAGACCCUUUAAAUAGAAAUGAAGGAGGAUCUAGGGUUGGGUAUGGAGAUGACCAGGUCUUGGUCGACACCCUAGUGCGGUUCUAGGUAGAGGAGUUUGGGCCGGUAUGGUAAAGCUGUUCACGAAAGCAGGAAUGCCAGAUAAUGACAGUUGUAUUGAUUUGCACUAUUUAAAUCCCCAGGUUCUUCCCUUUACAGUAUCCAGAGGAGAUUAUUACUGUUUGGCCCGGUACAGUACUCAUGGAAAAUAUGUGGGAGAAGUUAGUACUUGUAAUAGAACAGAGAAUGUUACCACUAAUAAGACCAUGUUGGAUUUGAGAGGUUGGUUAAACUCUGAAGAUUUCAGUAAAGUAAGGUGGGCCAGGGCUGACAUCUGGUGGUUGUGUGGGGGAACAAUUCUAUGGCCAGUAUUACCCACAGAUUGGGUGGGGUCAUGUGCGUUAGUGCAUUUGGGGAUGCCUUUUACACUCAUUCGACACCAGGACAUGAAGUUAUCUAAACGGGAAAAGAGAAGCACUCCAUCUGGGUCAUUUGAUGACAAGGUAGGGUAGCCUAGUGGUUAGAGCGUUGGACUAGUAACCGAAAGGUUACAAGUUCGAAUCCCCGACCUGACAAGGUACAAAUCUGUCAUUCUGCUCCUGAACAGGCAGUUAACCCACUGUUCCUAGGCCAUCAUUGAAAAUAAGAAUUUGUUCUUAACUGACUUGCCUAGUAGAGCCCCUGAUAACAUUGGGGUUCCAAGGGAGGUGCCAGAUGAGUCAAAGCAAGAAAUCAGAUCCUAGCAGGAUUAGAGUUAAGCAUUUCCGGGGCUCUACUUUCAAUAAGAACGUGGACUGGAUUAAUUAUAUUUAUGAUAAUCAACAGUGCUUUAACAAGUAUACUAGAGAUGCUAUUAAAGGUUUUGCAGAACAGACUGAAGCAACCAGCUGGAUGGCUUGGCAGAAUAGAAUUGCAUUAGAUGUGUUAAUGGCUGAAAAGGGAGAAGUAUACUUGAUUAUCAGGACCAUGUUUGUGCUUACAUCCCAAAUAACACAGCUCCGGACGAAUCAGUGCCCGAAGCCUCAGCUGGUUUGACCACCCUGGCUCACGGGUUGGCAUAAACUCUGGGGUGGAUACUUCUCUGACUAAUUGGGUUUUGAUAAUACGUUUGGAAAAUGGAAAAUGUUAUGAUCACUGUGGGCUACAUUCACCUGUGUGACUGUUUUAGUUUUAGGGGGCUGUUGUCUAAUCCCCUGUGUAUGAGGCCUUAUUUCCAGGACUCUGGAGUAAUCUAUGACAAUAGAUGGUGCGGUGUGGGACGAUUCCAGGUUCUGACCCGUGGAGGACUGAAUGCCUGACUACAGGACAAGUGGACAAAUCUGGAUCUUUCAUCAUUGGGGAAUUUAUGUUUGAUGAGACUAGGGUUGAGGAGGGGAAUUAGAUUGUACUUUGUUUCAAUAUUAGAAAAAAACGAAAAGUCCUGUUAAGAAGAGUUAUAAUUCUGAUGUAGGUUUUAGGGUUAAAUUAAGGUUAAGGUUAGAUUUGAUUAAUGAUGGGUGAAGAGUCAGAUAAACAUUUAUAAUAAUGUUGGUUCAUAUUUUUAUUUUUAUGUUUGAUAAAAUUAGAUGUAGAUUUGAAUGUAUAAUAUUUGAUCAAAGGGAGGAUUGUUGGAGGAAAUUAUGGUUGAAAUGACUAAUUAUGUAUACAUUCCAAUCAGAACUGACUAGUCCAAAUGCUACAAUGUACUGUACAUAUAUGAAUUUUCUCUUUUGCUCCCAUUCCCAAUUGUAUAUAAUGUAGUCAGGAGUUUAGUAACAAUGACGGUCUGUUCCUUGUACAAAUGAAUGUACUAUUUCCAGGUGGCUGGGACGGAGAUGGAAAUGAACAAAGCGACUGCCACCAGUUUCUUCAUUGGAGUAAUGUGUAGGGCUCCUUUAUUUGGUUUCUUCAGUGACCGGAAUGCACUAUACAGAACCCUUACUACUUUACACAAACUCACAUAUACUAACACUACUGAUACAAUACAAGUUUCCUGUGGAAAAUAGCUGCAAGCUUUAAACCAUUGGUGUUCAGGUGCUGUGUGGCUCAGUUGAUAGAGCAUGGUGCUUUUAAUGCCAGGGUUCUGGGUACGAUUCUCACGAGGGACCAGUAUGAAAAUGUAUACUUUCUACUGUAAGCUGCUCUGGAUAAGAGUAUCUGUUAAAUGUACACAUUUUAAUUUUCAUGCAGAAAUGAAAUACUCUGAUCAUUUCUAAAAGUAUGUUUAAUAGAAUGUUGUCUUUCACUUAGCUGCAUUGUGUAUAGAAAUAUUGCAACUUUACGUUAUGGUAUACUGAUUAUAGUGAUUCCGUGGCUUAUAAGUGGUUUACAAUGGUUAGUUAAAUAAUUUGUUUAUAUAUAUUAUAUAUACUGUACCAGUCAAAAGUUUGGACAACUACUCAUUCCAGGGUUUUUCUUUAUUUUUACUAUUUUCUACAUUGUAGAAUAAUAGUGAAGACAUCAAAACUAUGAAAUAACUGUUGGAGGAAAUUAUGGUUGAAAUGACUAAUUAUGUAUACAUUCCAAUCAGAACUGACUAGUCCAAAUGCUAUAAUGUACUGUACAUAUAUGAAUUUUCUCUUUUGCUCCCAUUCCCGAUUGUAUAUAAUGUAGUCAGGAGUUUAGUAACAAUGACGGUCUGUUCCUUGUACAAAUGAAUGUACUAUCUCCAGGUGGCUGGGACGGACUAUCUCCAGACUGUCUAGAAUGCUGAUUUAUACUGACUGACCUUGACUUCAGGCGUGGAGCGAAGGCUCGAGAACUAUAGGGCCUCUCUACCGGUGUCAUGAAAGAGAUAGAACAUUUAGAAAACGCUGACGUCAUUUUCAGUUUAUAACCUGUGGAAAAAUGUGUAUGUGGCAGUACUCUCUUGUAAUAAACGCUGUUACCUGA